ensembl:snoRNA W02B9.3 ncRNA
AGUUUUGCAAAAAAAAAUGACAAAAUUUGACACAAAAAUCAUAUUUUUUGGAAUUUUUUCAAAAUUGUGCGG